AGAGAUUAUUGUAAAUGAAGGGAUACAUAUUGGAAAUUUGAUUUUUAAUUUAAUUCUGAUUUUGACUGCAAGCUAUUUAAGAUGUAAUUAAUGAAGAAAUGCAUAUGGAUGUUUAUAAAUUAUUCAGAUAUUUCAUAUAUACUGUAAAUUUAUAAAUAAUUAAGGCUAAAUUUACAAGUUGAACUCUGUUCCAGUUCCUUGGUAAGAAUACAAUAAUUCCAUAUAAGCUUUGAAGCACAGUGGGAACUGUCAAGUGCUUUUAAUUCAGCUUGACUAUCUGAUUGAUUUUAACAUAUUUCCUCUUCUAUCUCAAUAUGAAUAUAUUUAUUAACACUUACAGAAAUAGCAUAGAUUUUUGCCUGAAAAGACAGUGGAAAACUAUCUGAAAGAUUAAGAUAUUUUCAUUUCCUCAUGGCAAAUUCUUACCCUUACAUUAGUAAUAGGUUUAGAGCCAUCUGUAAACCAGACCAGUCCAUCUUGAUAUACUGCAUCCAAAUUCACCUCCCCAGUCCACCAAACUAGGAAAAACAACAUUGAAGGGUUUGAAAAAGUUUAAAGAUUACAUGAUGAUUAGAUUUAUCAUCUCAAGAAUGGCUUUGCAUCUUGUCCCAUUCAAAAGAUGAUCCACUUUGUGGGUCCAAGAAAUCAUUCUCCCACAACAAUGGAUCCUAUAAUAACCCUCCUGAGCACUAGCCUCAAAGUGCAAAUGCCUAAGAGGACGUCAAGAGUAUCUAUCUGUAGGAGCAAAAUCUUUAUAGCUCUUGUGAUGCUCAGACAGGCCAACCUUUUGAAUCUUUUCAAGUUCAGUCCUGCAAGUCUUAAGCAAAAUUCUUUGCAACUAAAA
rnacentral:lncRNA from 1 species